rnacentral:rRNA from 1 species
GACGAACGCUGGCGGCGUGCCUAAUACAUGCAAGUAGAACGCACAGUUUAUACCGUAGCUUGCUACACCAUAGACUGUGAGUUGCGAACGGGUGAGUAACGCGUAGGUAACCUGCCUGGUAGCGGGGGAUAACUAUUGGAAACGAUAGCUAAUACCGCAUAAUAUUGAAUAUUGCAUGAUAAUUGAUUGAAAGAUGCUAUUGCAUCACUACCAGAUGGACCUGCGUUGUAUUAGCUAGUAGGUGAGGUAACGGGUCACCUAGGCGACGAUACAUAGCCGACCUGAGAGGGUGAUCGGCCACACUGGGACUGAGACACGGCCCAGACUCCUACGGGAGGCAGCAGUAGGGAAUCUUCGGCAAUGGACGAAAGUCUGACCGAGCAACGCCGCGUGAGUGAAGAAGGUUUUCGGAUCGUAAAGCUCUGUUGUAAGAGAAGAACGGGUGUGAGAGUGGAAAGUUCACACUGUGACGGUAUCUUACCAGAAAGGGACGGCUAACUACGUG